ensembl:lncRNA
GCGACGCCUCAGGUGGUGAGGUUCCUUAACGGUUGCCCCUUUGAUAUAAAACUCCCGAGUUGCUUCUUUGCAGCUGGGUCCUCCUUCCUGCGUCAUGUGUUGGUGGUGUGUCCUAGCUCGGGAUUGUCAUUAGCCAAAGGCCAGAAGUUACCUUCCGCUGGUGGUCGUCACUACCACUCUGUUCCCUGCAACACACUUCGAACAAAUUGCCGUGCUGGCCCACGUGUCGGGCAUCGCUGAACGUCCGUCUGAUUCCGGUUUGUCUGGAUCCAUAUUAAGACGACAGGCAUUGGCACAAUUUCCCAGCAGGCGAUGUGACAUGUUCUGGCGACAGUCGCGGAUUUAUUUUCCCUCUAAUGAAGAUGUUCACCUGGGUUGACCAUUCACCCGGAACCUACGCAGGUCCAGCCGAACAGCCCGGUGAACUGGACAAAUGAGAAGAGAUCGAAAAACCUACCAUUUAAUUACAGCAAAGUCCAAAAACAAACUUUGGCCCAGAGUUAUUUACGU